ACUGCUAUCGGAUUGAUACUAAGCCAUGCGAGUCUUUGUAGCAAUACAAGGCAGACGGCUCAGUAACACGUAGUCAAUCUACCCUAUGGACGGGGAUAACCUCGGGAAACUGAGAAUAAUACCCGAUAGAUCAUUAUGCCUGGAAUGGUUUAUGGUCGAAAUGAUUUAUCGCCGUAGGAUGGGACUGCGGUCUAUCAGCUUGUUGGUGAGGUAAUGGCCCACCAAGGCUAUAACAGAUACGGGCUCUGAGAGGAGAAGCCCGGAGAUGGGUACUGAGACACGGACCCAGGCCCUAUGGGGCGCAGCAGGCGAGAAAACUUUGCAAUGUGCGAAAGCACGACAAGGUUAAUCCGAGUGUUUUCUGCUAAAGAAAUCUUUUGUCAGUCCUAAAAACACUGAUGAAUAAGGGGUGGGCAAGUUCUGGUGUCAGCCGCCGCGGUAAAACCAGCACCUCAAGUGGUCAGGAGGAUUAUUGGGCCUAAAGCAUCCGUAGCCGGCCGUGUAAGUUUUCGGUUAAAUCUAUACGCUCAACGUAUAGGCUGCCGGGAAUACUGCACAGCUAGGGAGUGGGAGAGGUAGACGGUACUCGGUAGGAAGGGGUAAAAUCCUUUGAUCUAUUGAUGACCACCUGUGGCGAAGGCGGUCUACUAGAACACGUCCGACGGUGAGGGAUGAAAGCUGGGGGAGCAAACCGGAUUAGAUACCCGGGUAGUCCCAGCUGUAGACAAUGCAAAUUCAGUGAUGCACUGGCUUGUGGCCAGUGCAGUGCCGCAGGGAAGCCGUUAAGUUUGCCGCCUGGGAAGUACGUACGCAAGUAUGAAACUUAAAGGAAUUGGCGGGGGAGCACCACAAGGGGUGAAG
rnacentral:rRNA from 1 species